GGAGGCGUGUGGGUUCCUGGUGGUCCCCUCGGUCUUCAAAACCGAUGAGGUCGAGUACCUCGGCCUGGCGGGUUCGAUUCCCGUCCGCCUCCGCA
rnacentral:tRNA from 1 species